rnacentral:tRNA from 1 species
GGGAGUGUGGCGGAAGUGGUAGACGCAGCGGACUUAAAAUCCUCCGGGCAGUGGCCCUUACGGGUUCGAGUCCCGUCACUCCCACCA